GACAGAGGUGCCGAGCGUUUAGGCGGAAUCACUGGGCUUAAAGCGUGUGUAGGCGGGCGAUCAAGUACCUUGUGAAAUCCCACGGCUCAACCGUGGAACCGCUGGGUAUACUGGUUGUCUUGAGCCGGCUAGGGGCGAGCGGAACAGACGGUGGGAGCGGUGAAAUGCGUAGAUAUCGUCUGGAACGCCGAAGGUGAAAACAGCUCGCUGGGGCCGCGCUGACGCUGAGACACGAAAGCCAGGGGAGCGAACGGG
rnacentral:rRNA from 1 species